CCUACGGGAGGCAGCAGUGAGGAAUAUUGGUCAAUGGACGAGAGUCUGAACCAGCCAAGCCGCGUGAAGGAUGACUGCCCUCUGGGUUGUAAACUUCUUUUAUAUGGGAAUAAAACAGUGUAUGCAUACCCUCUUGUAUGUACCUUAUCAAUACGGAUCGGCUAACUCCGUGCCAUCAGCCGCGGUAAUACGGAGGAUGCGAGCGUUAUCCGGAUUUAUUGGGUUUAAAGGGAGCGUAGGUGGAUUGUUAAGUCAGUUGUGAAAGCUUGCGGCUCAACCGUAGAAUUGCAGUUGAAACUGGCAGUCUUGAGUACAGUAGAGGUGGGCGGAAUUCGUGGUGUAGCGGUGAAAUGCGUAGAUAUCACGAAGAACUCCGAUGGCGAAGGCAGCUCACUGGACUGCAACUGACGCUGAGGUGCGAAAGUGUGGGUAGCAAACAGGAUUAGAUACCCGAGUAGUC
rnacentral:rRNA from 1 species